UACGAAGGGGGCUAGCGUUGCUCGGAAUCACUGGGCGUAAAGCGCACGUAGGCGGACUCUUAAGUCGGUGGUGAAAGCCUUGAGCUCAACUCAAGAAAUGCAUUCAGGACUGGGCGGCUAGAGGACCGGAGAGGAUAGUGGAAUUCCCAGUGUAGUGGUGAAAUACGUAGAGAUUGGGAAGAACACCAGUGGCGAAGGCGGCUAUCUGGACGGUUUCUGACACUAAGACUCGAAAGCGUGGGGAGCAAACAGG
rnacentral:rRNA from 1 species